UACGGGGGGGGCAAGCGUUGUUCGGAUUCAUUGGGCGUAAAGGGUGCGUAGGCGGCGGGGUAAGUUUGAUGUGAAAUCCCGGGGCUCAACCCUGGAAUGGCAUUGAAUACUGCUUUGCUAGAGUACCGGAGAGGAAACUGGAAUUUACGGUGUAGCAGUGAAAUGCGUAGAGAUCGUAAGGAAGACCAGUGGCGAAGGCGAGUUUCUGGACGGUAACUGACGCUGAGGCACGAAGGCCAGGGGAGCAAACAGG
rnacentral:rRNA from 1 species